UCAACAAAACUCUCAUGUACACUAUUAUAACUCAGAACUAAGAUGUAGUUCUAGGCUUGAGGAAAACGGUGAUAGAAACAUAGUCUUAGGAAGUAAAUAAAGUAUUUUCGAAGCAAGUGAAAUUACUGAUUUUACGGAGAGGAUGCAUAUGGGUGGAUAGCUUUAGCAUAAUGUUUCUUUUGUAAUGAAGGCUAUGAUGAGAUGAUAAAAUUGGAGGUGGUAUUUUUGACUUUUGUUUAUUUUAAUAGAAUGAUCACACAUAGAUGAAAGCGAGGGGUAGGAAAAUUUCAUGUGAUCCCAUUAUUCGCCUACAUGUUUUUCAAAUAUAAUAAAACAUAUAGAAGAAAGGGGCCAUAGAAGACUGCAUGUGUGAUUAGAUACUUGGAUGAGUUGAUUUCAUGGGUUUAGUGAUAAAUACUCCCAAGAUAAAGCCUACACAUUUGUUUCAGAAAUGAGGUCAGUAGAGGGAUAUGUCAGAUGGUGUCUAGUGAGCUGUGGGCUGGAUGGCCAGGUUGCUAAGCUGAGGCUAAGUACAUGGAAGUACGUUCUAAUGUUGGUACAAAUUUGAUGUGGCUUGCAAUACUGUAAAGGUGAUGGUGGUGUCCUAAAGAGCUGGCAACGUUUUCAAACGUCUUCUAUAGGUUCAUUCUAUAUUUUGCUUGAAGGCAAGCAAAUGAUAAGUCUGGGAGAGUUGAUAUACCUUGGUUUUUACCACCUUUUGACCAUAGUAUAAGUCCUUUUAGAGUAAUUAUAUUAUUUUUAAGUCUAUUUGAGAUUUUUUCAGGUCUAUGUACGUUUUGGAGCAUUUUGUAGAUUAUGGAGCCAUUUGGAGCAUAAAGUGAAGAAAACCCGUCGCUGUGCAGAAAAUCUGAAGUCGGAGUCAAUAUUUGGGAAGUACAUCAAUCGACACGUCCUUUGUGCCAGCCGACACACAUGCUGUUUGACGUGGCCGACUAAAGUUUCAAGAAAUUCACUUUUUUUCUAGAAAUUUCCAUAUUUGCAAGAAGACCCUUGGAUGUUCUUAACCUAUAUUAUCUAUUUUCCAGCCACUGUUUAAGCUAAGCUUAGCUUUAUUUUACUUAGAGAGGUUUUUGUAAAGAAAACCGAGACUCCUUCAGAGAUUGAUUGAAACUCCAGUAUUUUUUACUCUUAUAUUUUUAUGCACUUAAUUCAGACUUUUCCCAUGUUUUGCAUGAUCAUUUAUGAGUAGUUGGCAUCUAGGGUUUAUGGAUUUAUGGAAUUUAUAGGGUUUUGAUGAACUUUGAUUUAUCGAACUGUUAGAGUAAUCAUAUUGCAUCAUUCACUAUGAUUAAUCUCAUUUACUUGUUUCUGGGUAAUUAAGUAGAAAUCUGAUAUUAGGAUAGUUGAAAAACACGAGAGUGAAAAUCAACACAUGAACUGAAUCUUGCUAAGCUAAGUUGUUAGUGACAACGAGAGUUGGUCUAGGACUUAGUGAAUAUAUCGAAUUGGUACUUAAUGCUUGUCUAGAGUAUUUGGAAUCGCAACGGGAGUUCAACAUCGAUUACUUAGACAUCUGAUAGUAAUCGUAGAGAGAGAGUUGGAUGGCUUACUUAUGAAUUCGAGCUUUAAGAUUGAUUUUAAUAAAAUCCUUAGUAAAUGUUUUUCUGAGUUCUGAUUACAUGUUUGAUAUCCCUAGAUCUAGCGCUUUUCCCAUCAAUUUACAAACCAAUUUUUUGUUUUGUUGUGAUCUAGUGAUUUCUGUUAUUGAUCUGGUUUAUCUUAUAAUUAACAGUCUAUUGUGUGAUCUACGUUCCAUGUGGAUUUGAUCUUUUUAUUUUUGUGAAAAUGGAUUCGAUUUUUAAAUAUUGUAAUCGAUCUCUUAUUUUAGAGAGUUACUCUAAAGUAAUCAAAGUGAUAUCACUAACCAAUAUAAGCAUUUAGGGUUGAUUAGAAAAUAAAAGGUUCUCAGCGUCUUCUUCGUUCUCGUCGCCGACACUCGAGGAGUCGAGGGUUGCAAUCAACAUCUCAGCUUCUUUCUUCGAUCUCGUCUACGAGGGUUUCAACAUCUCAGCUUCUUUCUUCGAUCUCGUUGACGACACCGUGGGUUUCAACAUCUCAGCUUGUUUCUCGAUCUCGUUGACGACACUCGUGGGUUUCAACAUCUCAGCUUCUUUAUGACAGUUUCAACAUCUCAGGAGAUAUUGAAGAGUAUUUUGAUGAUGAAGAUGAUGAUGAUGAUGCAAAAAGUAACUCUGAAGUUGGAGAUUCUAGUGCAUGAAGAUCACAAUGAAGCACAAAGAGUAUUGGCGAGUGAAGAUCACAAUCUCAAACUUCAACCAGAGAGCGAUCCCUUAAGACUUCAUGAAAAAUGUCUUUUUUACAUCCUUCAUUGCAUGUUUCAAAAGCAGAGUCUUUCUUUUGUGUUUAGUUUGUUUCAUGUUUAAGAUUCAUUCUUGUUGGUGUCUUUGAAACUGUUGGAAGUGUAUUAAAGUUUUCACAUUCUUUCAUUUUCAUUUUAAUCAGAAACUAUUUUAUUUGAUA